GUGGGGAAUCUUCCGCAAUGGACGAAAGUCUGACGGAGCAACGCCGCGUGAGUGAAGAAGGUUUUCGGAUCGUAAAGCUCUUUCGUUAGGGACGAACGUGCUCUUUGUGAAUAAUGAGGAGUAAUGACGGUACCUAAAUAAGAAGCCACGGCUAACUACGUGCCAGCAGCCGCGGUAAUACGUAGGUGGCAAGCGUUGUCCGGAAUUAUUGGGCGUAAAGCGCGCGCAGGCGGGAUAUCAAGUCUGUCUUAAAAGUGCGAGGCUCAACCUCGUGAGGGGACAGAAACUGGUAUUCUUGAGUGUCGGAGAGGAAAGUGGAAUUCCAAGUGUAGCGGUGGAAUGCGUAGAGAUUUGGAAGAACACCAGUGGCGAAGGCGACUUUCUGGACGAUGUCUGACGCUGAGGCGCGAAAGCUAGGGGAGCGAACGGGAUUAGAUACCCGAGUAGUCC
rnacentral:rRNA from 1 species